rnacentral:rRNA from 1 species
GGUUAAGCGACUAAGCGUACACGGUGGAUGCCCUGGCAGUCAGAGGCGAUGAAGGACGUGCUAAUCUGCGAAAAGCGUCGGUAAGGUGAUAUGAACCGUUAUAACCGGCGAUGUCCGAAUGGGGAAACCCAGUGCAAUUCGUUGCACUAUCGUUAACUGAAUACAUAGGUUAACGAGGCGAACCGGGGGAACUGAAACAUCUAAGUACCCCGAGGAAAAGAAAUCAACCGAGAUUCCCCCAGUAGCGGCGAGCGAACGGGGAGCAGCCCAGAGUCUGAAUCAGCUUGUGUGUUAGUGGAACGGUCUGGAAAGUCCGACGGUACAGGGUGAUAGUCCCGUACACCAAAAUGCACAGGUUGUGAACUCGAAGAGUAGGGCGGGACACGUGGUAUCCUGUCUGAAUAUGGGGGGACCAUCCUCCAAGGCUAAAUACUCCUGACUGACCGAUAGUGAACCAGUACCGUGAGGGAAAGGCGAAAAGAACCCCGGCGAGGGGAGUGAAAAAGAACCUGAAACCGUGUACGUACAAGCAGUGGGAGCACCUUCGGGUGUGACUGCGUACCUUUUGUAUAAUGGGUCAGCGACUUAUAUUCUGUAGCAAGGUUAACCGUAUAGGGGAGCCGCAGGGAAACCGAGUCUUAACUGGGCGUUAAGUUGCAGGGUAUAGACCCGAAACCCGGUGAUCUAGCCAUGGGCAGGUUGAAGGUUGGGUAACACUAACUGGAGGACCGAACCGACUAAUGUUGAAAAAUUAGCGGAUGACUUGUGGCUGGGGGUGAAAGGCCAAUCAAACCGGGAGAUAGCUGGUUCUCCCCGAAAGCUAUUUAGGUAGCGCCUCGUGAAUUCAUCUUCGGGGGUAGAGCACUGUUUCGGCUAGGGGGUCAUCCCGACUUACCAACCCGAUGCAAACUACGAAUACCGAAGAAUGUUAUCACGGGAGACACACGGCGGGUGCUAACGUCCGUCGUGAAGAGGGAAACAACCCAGACCGCCAGCUAAGGUCCCAAAGUCAUGGUUAAGUGGGAAACGAUGUGGGAAGGCACAGACAGCCAGGAUGUUGGCUUAGAAGCAGCCAUCAUUUAAAGAAAGCGUAAUAGCUCACUGGUCGAGUCGGCCUGCGCGGAAGAUGUAACGGGGCUAAACCAUGCACCGAAGCUGCGGCAGCGACACUAUGUGUUGUUGGGUAGGGGAGCGUUCUGUAAGCCUGCGAAGGUGACCUGUGAGGGUUGCUGGAGGUAUCAGAAGUGCGAAUGCUGACAUAAGUAACGAUAAAGCGGGUGAAAAGCCCGCUCGCCGGAAGACCAAGGGUUCCUGUCCAACGUUAAUCGGGGCAGGGUGAGUCGACCCCUAAGGCGAGGCCGAAAGGCGUAGUCGAUGGGAAACAGGUUAAUAUUCCUGUACUUGGUGUUACUGCGAAGGGGGGACGGAGAAGGCUAUGUUAGCCGGGCGACGGUUGUCCCGGUUUAAGCAUGUAGGCUGGUUAUCCAGGCAAAUCCGGAUAAUCAAGGCUGAGGUGUGAUGACGAGGCACUACGGUGCUGAAGUAACAAAUGCCCUGCUUCCAGGAAAAGCCUCUAAGCAUCAGGUAACAUCAAAUCGUACCCCAAACCGACACAGGUGGUCAGGUAGAGAAUACCAAGGCGCUUGAGAGAACUCGGGUGAAGGAACUAGGCAAAAUGGUGCCGUAACUUCGGGAGAAGGCACGCUGGUGUGUAGGUGAAGCCCCUGCGGGUGGAGCUGAGACCAGUCGAAGAUACCAGCUGGCUGCAACUGUUUAUUAAAAACACAGCACUGUGCAAACACGAAAGUGGACGUAUACGGUGUGACGCCUGCCCGGUGCCGGAAGGUUAAUUGAUGGGGUUAUCCGUAAGGAGAAGCUCUUGAUCGAAGCCCCGGUAAACGGCGGCCGUAACUAUAACGGUCCUAAGGUAGCGAAAUUCCUUGUCGGGUAAGUUCCGACCUGCACGAAUGGCGUAAUGAUGGCCAGGCUGUCUCCACCCGAGACUCAGUGAAAUUGAACUCGCUGUGAAGAUGCAGUGUACCCGCGGCAAGACGGAAAGACCCCGUGAACCUUUACUAUAGCUUGACACUGAACAUUGAGCCUUGAUGUGUAGGAUAGGUGGGAGGCUUUGAAGCGUGGACGCCAGUCUGCGUGGAGCCAACCUUGAAAUACCACCCUUUAAUGUUUGAUGUUCUAACGUUGGCCCCUUAUCGGGGUUGCGGACAGUGUCUGGUGGGUAGUUUGACUGGGGCGGUCUCCUCCCAAAGCGUAACGGAGGAGCACGAAGGUUAGCUAAUCCUGGUCGGACAUCAGGAGGUUAGUGCAAUGGCAUAAGCUAGCUUGACUGCGAGCGUGACGGCGCGAGCAGGUGCGAAAGCAGGUCAUAGUGAUCCGGUGGUUCUGAAUGGAAGGGCCAUCGCUCAACGGAUAAAAGGUACUCCGGGGAUAACAGGCUGAUACCGCCCAAGAGUUCAUAUCGACGGCGGUGUUUGGCACCUCGAUGUCGGCUCAUCACAUCCUGGGGCUGAAGUAGGUCCCAAGGGUAUGGCUGUUCGCCAUUUAAAGUGGUACGCGAGCUGGGUUUAGAACGUCGUGAGACAGUUCGGUCCCUAUCUGCCGUGGGCGCUGGAGAAUUGAGGGGGGCUGCUCCUAGUACGAGAGGACCGGAGUGGACGCAUCACUGGUGUUCGGGUUGUCAUGCCAAUGGCACUGCCCGGUAGCUAAAUGCGGAAGAGAUAAGUGCUGAAAGCAUCUAAGCACGAAACUUGCCCCGAGAUGAGUUCUCCCUGAGACUUUAAGUCUCCUGAAGGAACGUUGAAGACGACGACGUUGAUAGGCCGGGUGUGUAAGCGCAGCGAUGCGUUGAGCUAACCGGUACUAAUGAACCGUGAGGCUUAACCUU